UCUCUCAGUCUGGAUAAAGAUAAGGCUCUCUUUAUAUUCCAUUUUUCGUCCCCCUUUCUCUAUCUAAAUAAACACUCAAAUAGCAGUAUCAGUUUUUUCUCUCUAUAACUUGCCUUUUAGAUAUGUCGAUUGUGUUGGGAAGAAAUAAUUCAAGUGAUCAUCGGAUCAAACCUUCUGGAUUCACCGCCCACGAAAUGACCUCUAUGCCGAUCUAUAACUCGCCGGAAUUCGGCAUCGGAGAUCCUCGGGACGAUCGAAGUUCUUCUUUCUCAUCUUCUUCCUCUUCUUCAUCGAUCGGAAGAAAUAGUGAUGACUCGCCGGCCGGUAGAUCAUCAUCGGACGGGGAUGGCGAAGAAGUACAGAGUUCAUUUAAACCUGGAGGUUUGGACAAUUUGGGGACCUUAGAGGAGGUUUUACCUAUCAAGAGGAGCAUAUCAAAGUUUUAUGCUGGUAAAUCUAAAUCUUUUACCAGUCUAGCAGAUGCGGCUUCAAUUUCCUCUGUGAAAGAAAUUGUCAAGCCAGAGGAUGCAUACACCAGGAAACGCAAGAAUCUGCUUGCGCACAACAAUUUCUUUGGCAAAAAUCGUAGUUAUCUCCCAGGUAUGGGUAAUCGUGGGAUUUACAAGAGACCGAUCAACUCUAGAAGUUCAUCAGCUCUAGCUGCAAGUGUGAGCUGCUCUGACAGUUCCGAGUCUUUGAACUCAAGCCCAUCAUCGCCUUGUCUCACUCGUCCUCCUCUUCCUCCGCAGACACGAAGGUAUAGGAAUGAGUCGUCAUUAUCUCCUCCUGACCGAAAAUUGAAUGCAUGGAGGUCUUUCUCCUUAUCUGAUCUACAAGGUGCUGCUGCUGCUGCUCCCAGCUUGAUGGGAAUAAAGGAAUAAAAGACAAUAGUUGUAUUCUGUGUCACCCUAUGAAGACAAACUCAGAUUUGUUUACAUGGUGGUUGGCUUACUUAUUGAAUCGGUCAUAGGUUUGGUUUUUGAGUCUCUGGCUGUCUGCCCAUUGUAAUUAUUGGUCUGCCCACCGUCUGGUCAUGUUAUCCUAACAAUAUUACUUUUUUCAGUACACAUUUUAGACCUUUGCAUUCCUUGUUUCUUAAAUGUGUUGUCUUGCGUCAUUGGAUAAAAGCUGAAAAAGGAUCAUGGUGUAAGGCUCUUUUGUCCACCCUCUGCGCCCUGUGUCUUGUACUCUUGUUCAAUGCUGUUGAGAAUGGGUGCUUAAAGUGCCAGGCAGUGCAUCAUCAUCAGAUGAAUAAGUGGAGAUGUUUGUUUUGGUAUUUG
rnacentral:misc_RNA from 1 species